rnacentral:rRNA from 1 species
UACGAAGGGUGCAAGCGUUACUCGGAAUUACUGGGCGUAAAGCGUGCGUAGGUGGUUCGUUAAGUCUGAUGUGAAAGCCCCAGGCUCAACCUGGGAAGUGCACUCGAUACUGCGUAGCUUGAGUAUCGGAGAGGUUGGUGGAAUUCUCGGUGUAGAGGUGAAAUUCGUAGAUAUCAGGAGGAACACCGGUGGCGAAGGCGGUUCUCUGGGCAUUACCUGACGCUGAGGAGCGAAAGUGUGGGGAGCGAACAGG